rnacentral:misc_RNA from 1 species
GGGCAGAAAUCAGCAUUCCCGCUUCGCUGUGAGCCAGGAUCUCGUCGUUCCAAUCUGUUGUGUCGACUCCCUCUUCUUCGGGAUAUUCGGUAGUGAGGCUCGUUUCCGACGUUUCAGUCGUCGUAUUUUCGAGCUCUUCGUUGACCUCGAUCAACUCUUCCUUCUCUUUUUGGUCUUCCUCGUCGUCCAACGGUCUUCCUUCGAUGACUUUUCCAUUAAAUCUACAGGAAGUCGAAUCCUCCGCCAUCUUGCGCUUCCAAUUUCCCCUCCGAGUUUUCUGUUACGGAUGCCGCUGGCUUGGAAUCAAGUUCCCCCGGAACCUCUGAACUGGAAGACGCUGUCGUCGUGGUUCCCUUGGUCGGUGAAAGUAAAAGAACUACGGUGGGCGACAGGCUUGCCUGGACCUUCUUCGUGAUAUUAUUGACCGAAGUAACGUUGAACAGACUUCCAAGAGAGGAAGAAAUUGUUCUCGAAUAUCUCGCUUCUCCGGACUACCGCCUGAUUUUUACCAACGCCGGAGCUUUGCCAAGGUAUACUGGACACGUUAUAAGGAUACAUGGCCCUGGGCUGCUUCCCCGUCACCAUCUCGGUAGAUCGGAUUGACGAUAAAAAUGGAACAUAGAAGACGAGCCUCUUUCGGAGGAAUAACCCGGAUGCCAACGGAAUCGGAGGAAGGAUUCAAAGUGAGGAAAACAUUUUUUUCUAAUUCGCUACUCUCGGCGUAACGUUGCUACAGCAGCGGUGUUGAAGACGCGCGCUCACUUC